CUUUAAUUGCCAAAGGCAACGGUUUGAUAUUACAUAACUUUAAAUCCGUUUGUUUGCGUACACAUUAUCUACAUUUUCUAUACUGUAGUGAAUAUUACUUGUAUUCUCAAGAGGUAAGCUAUAGAAAAUGUUAUGGGUAUAAUUUGGAGGCAUUUUUAAGGUAACCAGAGGCUUUAAGGAGUCUGUGUCGCGCACCUGAAAUUUUGAAAUUGAUGCAUGAAAUAAUACAAUAAUUAUAGAUUAUCGUUGAUCAUCUCAACGAGAUUGAUAUUCUCGUUUGAGCCGGGACGGCGAAAGCGAGAAAGGCAAUCGAGUUGAGAUGAUCAAUGAUGAUCUGUUUAUCGCUAUUUUACCUAUGACGACGUUGUCAAUUUCAUGUUAAUUUCGUUAGCAACACCACGUGCCUGCUUAGUUUCUAGCGAUAAUUUUCAAUCUCAAGUGAGUAGCAUGAUAUGAAAAUUAUCACAAAAAAAAAUCACAAGAAAAAUGCACAAAAUAGCGAUAAAAAAGGAAUCUGUGUGGGUCAAGUUUGAUUUUUAAAUGCUUUAAUCUCAAUUAUCAUUUUAAGUUUUCAAGGUUAAAACACACAUUGGAAGUAUGUCGUGCUGCUGAAAAGAGACAGUAGGUAGAUCCCAACAUUCUGAACAUUUUUGCCCAAAUUAGACUUUUUCUACUCAUAGCAGUUUUCAAGAAAAUAAACACACCUUGCAUUUUACCCCUUUGUUUUACUUUUAGCUACGGCGGCCAUGUUGGUUGGCAGGCUGGACUUCAAACACAUUUUCUUAACAAAAUACCCUAUAAUAAAAAUUGACAAAAACUCCGUAUAAAGGAGUCAAUUGAAAAUUUGGUCAUGUUAAUUAUCUAUAAUAAUCAUCAAGAUAACCAAAAACUGCAAAAUGUUCUUAAACUUACAUGUCAAGAGACAGCAAUCCAACAACUUGUUGUCUGAUUCGUCUAAAAUUUUGAGAACAUAUAAAUCUAUACUUGAUGAAGAAAUUUUACCCUUGUCAUAUUUGCUCUAAAUGCUUGUAAGCUAAUUAAAAAUAUAUAAAAUAUAAGCCAAAACUGCAUUUUAUCCCUACGUUCUAGUUGAAGCCACGUUGGUUGGCAGACAGGAUCAUCGGAAACAUUUUUUUAUAAGUUCCCAAUUGAUGACUGUGGCCAAGUUUGGUUGAACUCGUAUAUGUAGUUUCAGAAGAGACGAUUUUGGUAAAAGAUUACAUAAAUUUACGAAAAAUUGUAAUACAAUUGAUUAUAAAUGGAAAUAACUCCUUACGGGGUCAAUUAACAACUUUGGUCAUGAUGACUCAUUUGUAGAUCUUCCUUUGCUGAACAUUAUUUUUGCUUACAAUCACUAUCUAUAAUAAUAUUCAAAAUAAUAACCAAAAACAGCAAAAUCUAUCUAAACUUACUUAUUCAAGGGCAGCAAUCCAACUACAGGUUGGCUGAUUCGUCGGAAAAUUCCACGACAGAUAGAUCUAAAUCAAUCUAAUUAAAAACCGAUCUCUCAUCGCUCCCGUUUUCUGAUAUGUCGCGUGGAAGAUCUAACGAAACCCGCUUUGAGGUCACAUGUGAGUGAACUAGAAGUUAUGAAUUUAUAACGAUAUGCAAAUGAGUUGACGACCUAUUUAUAAGCCAAUCAAAAAAGUUUAUGAAUUAUUUUGACUGACAAUUUCGUCGUAAAUAAAAUGAGUUACAUCCCUUUGCCUUACGAUAAACUUUCAAGAUCGUGGAAGACUCAAUUUCAUUGGCCGAAAAAGACACACCUACGAGGUCACUCACAUGUGACCUCAAAGCGGGUUUCGUUAGAUCUCCCACGCGACAUAUCAGAAAACGGGAGCGAUGAGAGAUCGGUUUUCAAUUAGAUUGGAUCUAAAUCUUAUGGUUUUUUUUUUGGUUUUUUUUCUCUGUUGGAUUUUUAGUCAUGGCAGCCAUAUUGGUUAGCAGGCGGGGUUGUCGGACACAUUUUUUCUAAAGCUAGAUACCCCAAUAUUGAUUGUGGCCAAGUUUGGUUAAAUUUGUCUUAAGUUUUAGGGGAGAUUUUUGUAAAAGUUAACGGACGACGGACGCCAAGUGAUGAGAAAAGCUCACUUGGCCUUUCAGACCAGACGUACGAAAAACUGACAUUGGGUUGCGGAGUGUACUAUAAAAUUGAAUCAUUUUUAAUUACUUUGGCUCACAAAGAAAACUUUAGAAUACAGACAAUUUAUAACCUAAAAGUAAGAGUUGUGUUAUAUUAACUUUACAAUUUAUGACAAAAGAUUUGAUUUUCUAAGAUACUGCUAAUCAAAUUUUUGACUUCGGACAGAAGUUUGAAAAUGCUACUCGAAUUAAGGCAUCAAUUUUCCUUUUAAUCUAAUAUAUGAAUAACUUGAAAUUUCACAGAACGAGUAAUAAUUUUUUUUUUGUCAAAAUAAGUAGCAAGAUAGAACUAUGCGUUUAUUGUUGUCCUAAUUAAAUAACGCUUGCAAUAUAUUUUUUUUAAUUUUCAGUUUUUAGUUCUCUAUGUAUUUCAGAUGUCUUUUUUGUGCAUUAGAUUUACACGUUCCUUUUUUUCCUUUACACGGAGAUAUAAUUUAUAUGUUGCAUACCUGUUUUCCUCUUAAGGGACCGGUAAAAUUUAUCGUCACAUAUGACCGGUGCAAAAAAUAAAUUUUAAACAUUUAAUAAAAGGUACAACCCUUUGGCUUUCAAACUGAAAAAUAAAUGAUGUCCUAUGCCAAUUUAGUAAUAAAAAAGUUGGUGUCCUUUCCUACUUUUCCAAUGUUUUGUAAAUGAAAGUAUACUUAUAAUCAUGUUAAAAGAGGCAUUUAAUAUAUGUUGUCUUUAUAAUAUGAUCAAAAGCAACAAACUGUAAAUCAAUGUUACAUUAUUUUGUGAGACUUCAAUUUGUAAUAGUUUGAUUUCUGUUCCAAUUUUUUGUUUAUGCUUACUACAUGUAAUUUACUUUUAGUUAUAAAUUUAACUGUUUUCAUGCAAUAUACUGUACAUGUAUGUUUAUACAUUAUGUCUAGUCAUACACUAUUGGUUGUCCUAAAGCAAAUCCAAUCCAUCACAUUUAAAAUUAUUAAAUAUACAAAUGUACUUUACAUUUUAAUAAGAUGAUUUAAUACAAAAAACAAUAUAUGUAAACUAAAUGUACAUGUGUUCCUUCAUUUUGUACCCUUUUUUUUUCUGCUUUAAAUAACUCAGCUAAAUUUUUGCCAAAUGUGGCUUCAUAUUUUGAAUUUGUGUUAUGCACUAUUUUUACAAUAUUACAUAUAAGUAAGAAAAUCUGUUGUACUGUAUUACAAAAAAGUCUAUAUAAUUUAUAAAACAUUUAAAAUAAAUUUAGAAAAUAAAUACAGAUCUGAUUCUGGUUACAAUUGGUUGAAAAAUUUGGUAGGGAGGUUUAGAAGUUAUGUUUCUAUAUACAUUGUUGUAUCAUGUAUUAUGUUACAUUUUUAUGAUUUUUAUUUACUAAAGAAUUUUUAUUUUCAUCUUGCAUGUUAUUAUUUUUUGUUAUAUAUUUUGUUUGUUGUUUUAUCAAUUUUAUUUAUUUUUUUAUUAUUUACAUAAGAAUUUAACUUGAUUUUAUGAUUUUUCUGAUUCUAGUCAUUACAUGGAGUUAAAAAUGCAUAACUUUAUUGCCAUUAUUUUUUUAAUUCAAUUUAUUAAAACAUUACUGUUUACAUGUACAUAGUUAUUCCAAUUUCAUUAGAUAGUUAUAUUUUCUUUUACAUUUAUACGUUAUAGACUGUUAUUUCAAGUUUUGUUAUAAUGUUAAUAAAAAUUAUUUCAAAGUAAUCGUUUGAAAAAAAAACUUGUGUCAUAUGGAUAUUAUAUUAUCUGUAAAAAAAGUGAUGUCCCAACAAAAGCGAUUCCGGAAAAAAGUAUCUGUCCUACUGCACUUUUAACCGGUCCUAUGUGUAGAUAAAUUUUGACUGGUCCCUUAAAGUCUAUUUAUCUAUGUUUCUGUAUUUAUAACCAUACAUGUUAGAGUCAUAGCGGAAACGAGUAACUGAUGAAAAAUAAUGUUUAUCCAAUUCUUGAAACAAUGCAUGUAUAUAUCAUAAACAUAAUCUUCUAUGCAUGAUUUUAUCAUUUUUUACGUAUCCAUAUCGUAUAUUUGUCAAAAACAAAUUUCUCUCGCUCUGUUUUGAUGUGAAAAUAUGGCAGCUAAUUAAUUGUCGUGUUUUGAAUCUGUACUUUACGGAUUGUCAUCUAAGUACACAAUCAACAAAGAAGCAUGGAUAUUGAGCUCGUGUAUAAUAUGUACAAUAAGAUAUUAGUUUACUUCAAUGACAGGUCCAUGCGUUUUGGGAUCACAAGACUUUUACAAGAAAGGUCACGAUGAGUUUGUUGCAUUUGGAAAACAUAUCGGCGGAUUGUUUACUGAAAGCAAGCAAUUAAAGAAAAGUAAAUUUCUUCUAAAUUUGGACAAAUUAUAGAAUUUUCCUGAGAAAAAAGAAUAUGUACAUUAGUUUUAUUAUAAAAACUAGCCAUUUAUUUAUGAAACAGAAACAUAUGCAUAUUUUGUUUUAAAUUUGAAGUUUCAUAUGACUCUAAGAAUUAUUUUAUUUGGUAUUUUCAGCUUGUUAUGAAACUCGCCUUUACAAUCUUUUGUUUGGUCGUUUUGAGCUUAUUUGGAGACACAGCAUGCGCUACUAACCAAUGCAUCAGCAAUUGCAUAGAUAGUUCCAGUAGCUGUAUCAGGGGUUGUGGUGGAAAAUUUAUUUUCCAGAUGUUGUCAUGCCAUUCAAGUUGCAAAAAUCAAUGUGAACUAUGUACCGUCAAGUGCCCUAACACUGGCAGUUCAGGAAAAACUUGUAAAUUUUAAAUCAUAAAUAAAAAAAAUUAUCGUUUCGU
rnacentral:lncRNA from 1 species